rnacentral:lncRNA from 1 species
CUGCUCGCAGUUCAGUAGGAAGGGAAGUGACCCAGGGAUGGGACAUUGCCCUGAGUGUCUGCUUGCAAUUAAGAUCUUAGAAUACUCAGGCAUUUCUAUGUGUUUACAGUGAUCCAAGACCCCACUAGGAACUUUUUCACCAAACCCAAAGAAGAGAUGAGGCAAGGUCUGUACUGGGCGGAGAUCCUUUGGAGUGAGGCUACUGUACACAGGUGUGAAAGUGAGCCAUUUUCUUCUCUUCGGCAGAUAUUGCCUCUUAUUCAUCACUCCACUGAAGCUAAUCAGUAACCAAAGACCAUGUGACUCAAAAGGACCUGAAAGGCUGAUGAUCCUUGUAAAUUAGAGGAAUGCAGUCUCCCUAGGUAAAAUCUCUGUCUCUCUCGGAAUAGAACUCUGCUCUUUGUGAGUGCCCCACAGCCUAAAAUGAAUGGUACUGCUGAGAUGAAGACACUCAUCCGUCAGACUCAGGCAUUGUGGGUCAGAGACCUGUGGGGCCUCUUUGGUCCUGUUCCACUUGCUGGUUGCCUGAGGUUGUAGUUUUGUGCCCAGUUGCCUGGAUACCCCUAGUGAUGUCCUGUCCUUAUCGUCUUAUCUGUCUCUUGUCCUCCUUUAGCCAACACCUCAUCUCCAUACUAUCAAGGAAUUCUUCCAGAAUUUAUGAGCGAAUUUCCCAUCUAUUUGGGCAGAGGAAAAAUAGUUAGGUUUUCU